rnacentral:rRNA from 1 species
CCUACGGGUGGCUGCAGUGAGGCAUAUUGGUCAAUGGGCGCGAGCCUGAACCAGCCAAGUCGCGUGAGGGAAGACGGUCCUAUGGAUUGUAAACCUCUUUUGUCGGGGAGCAAAAGACUCCACGCGUGUCGUUCCGAGAGUACCCGAAGAAAAAGCAUCGGCUAACUCCGUGCCAGCAGCCGCGGUAAUAAGGAGGAUUCGAGGGUUAUCCGGAUUUAUUGGGUUUAAAGGGUGCGCAGGCGGAAGAUCAAGUCAGCGGUAAAAUUGAGAGGCUCAACCUCUUCGAGCCGUUGAAACUGGUGUUCUUGAGUGAGUGAGAGGUAUGCGGAAUGCGUGGUGUAGCAGUGAAAUGCAUAGAUAUCACGCAGAACUCCGAUUGCGAAGGCAGCAUACCGGCGCUCAAAUGACGCUGAUGCACGAAAGUGUGGGUAUCGAACAGGAUUAGAUACCCGAGUAGUC